rnacentral:lncRNA from 1 species
GUUGCUUCAUAAUGGUGAAAUCUCUCAAAAUCGAAUGAGAGAAUCUCAAGUUUCCGGAGCAUAGAUUAAGCAUUCUAUCACCAGUAUUAAACAGCUCGGUGCGUAUACAAUCGCAUCGAUGUUACCUGUCUCCUGGUAUACCUCAUCUCUACGUCAUCUUUAACGUGUAGAUUUUUUUUUUUUGCAUCGAAAUACUGAUUACCGUCACUCUGAUUGUUAAUAGGUGUUGUGUAUGAGCCGAUGCCAUAUUAAUUUAAUCUUCGUUUUCUGAAUUUCUUGAUGUAGUUCUUAUUCAUGAGCUUAAAUCAUUUCAGAUCCGAAGAAAUAUGCACUUUUUGAUUUUAUUUUUUUAAUCGUAUUUGAAAUAACUCAAAUAAAAUUAAAAUUUAAGGUUAAGGGUGAAUGGAAGUGAUGAUUAUUUCCCCAUAUGAUCGAAGUUGAUUAUACUGAGCGCAUUUUUUUAAAUUCUCUUUUCUCAAAGAGAAUCCAAGCCAGAAAUCUGAUCCAUUCUCUAUUUUUACCUCUUAUUUUUUUAGUAUCAAACAACAAUGAAACC